AUCCAAUGGUUUCUCUUCAGAUCGUAUAAAUCUUUCGCCUUUUACUAAAGAUUUCCGUGGAGAGGAACAUUUAUGAGUUUGUACCCAAUUUUUUGCUAAUGGCAUAUCAUAAGU
rnacentral:snRNA from 1 species